AUUGAACGCUGGCGGCAUGCCUUACACAUGCAAGUCGAACGGCAGCACGGGUGCUUGCACCUGGUGGCGAGUGGCGAACGGGUGAGUAAUAUAUCGGAACGUACCUUAUUGUGGGGGAUAACGCAGCGAAAGCUGUGCUAAUACCGCAUAAUCCCUAAGGGGGAAAGCGGGGGACCGUAAGGCCUCGCGCAAUUAGAGCGGCCGAUACCUGAUUAGCUAGUUGGUGAGGUAAAGGCUCACCAAGGCAACGAUCAGUAGCUGGUCUGAGAGGACGAUCAGCCACACUGGGACUGAGACACGGCCCAGACUCCUACGGGAGGCAGCAGUGGGGAAUUUUGGACAAUGGGGGCAACCCUGAUCCAGCAAUGCCGCGUGAGUGAAGAAGGCCUUCGGGUUGUAAAGCUCUUUUGUCAGGGAAGAAACAGCAGCUCUAACACAGUUUGCGAAUGACGGUACCUGAGGAAUAAGCACCGGCUAACUACGUGCCAGCAGCCGCCGUAC
rnacentral:rRNA from 1 species